AAAACGUCACUGAAGUUGAGCUCGAGCAACCGUGGAGGUACAACAGCAAUGAGUAAUUAACAUCAGCAAAACUCUCCAAUGCUCGUGAUAAUCACAAUUCUUCACUCCGCUAUGCCUAGCAAACUAAGUGGAUUCACAAUAGCGAUUACCGAUUCAAAUAUUCAACCCGAAAACCAUUAACUCCCGCAAUUUUCAUUGAAUGCGAGACCGAAAAGGGAAGAAAUACGAACCUCUCUGGAACGGCGAGACACGGCGGUGACGGCGGAGAGCAACGACGACAUUCCUCAUCGGCUAAAAGCUAGAACACAACGAUCUAUUCGCUAAAAUGCGAGAUUCCCAUUAACACUCGUACGGCACCGCUUUGCGCCGAAACUGUUCGCUAAAAUGCGCAAGCGAGAUCGCCAAUAUGACUUUGAGUAUCUCUCCACGUAGGUGACGAUGCGCCACGUGGAAGACACGUGGCAAUCACAGAGUCAGUCGGCGUUUAUGUUACUUGGAGAAGUUAUAUGGGCCGGAUCAGUCUUAAGGCCCAUACGUUCAACAUAACUGGAGUAAGGAAGGUUAAACAUUGAUCUGAUUUUUUAAAUCGGAGAAGCGUAGAUAAGUCGACGACGACGACUCUUUUCUCUCGCUGUCUCACAUACACAAUCUUAGUCGUCUCCGGCAGAGAAACUUCGGUGAAGUAUAGAGCCAGAUCGAUCCGUUCUAGAGUCUAUUUCAUUUCGUCUGCGAUGGAGAAGUCUGUGGAUCUAGUACCGGCUUUGGUUACUUUCCUCGCCGCAGCUCACGUCAUCGCCUUGGUUUACUGGAUUUACAGAUUGGCCUCUGAUCGUCAGCCUCCGAAACAAAAACCUCAGUGAGGAAACGUCGGCAGAUGGAUUGGACUUUCGAAUCAUCUAUUGGGCUUAAUGUCUUAGUUCCGACCUGAUAUUUUGCGUUAUAGAUGUUUUUUUGAUGAAUUUGUGAUUGAAUAUUUAGAUGCUUAUGCUCGAGUUAAUGCUAAUAAGGGAUGUGUCCUUUGUUUUUGGCUCUAUC